AUUGAACGCUGGCGGCAGGCCUAACACAUGCAAGUCGAACGAGUGGCGGACGGGUGAGUAAUGUCUGGGAAACUGCCUGAUGGAGGGGGAUAACUACUGGAAACGGUAGCUAAUACCGCAUACCAUCGGAUGUGCCCAAAUGGGAUUAGUUUGUUGGGGGGGUAACGGCUCAGCAAGGCGAAGCUCCCUUGCUGGUCUGAGAGGAUGACCAGCCACACGGGAACUGGGCCACGGCCCAGACGCCUACGGGAGGCAGAAGUGGGGAAUCUUGUGGAAUGGGAGCAAGCCUGAUGCAGCCAUGCCGCGUGAAUGAAGAAGGCGUUCGGGUUGUAAAGUACUUUCAGCGGGGAGGCGUUAUCCGCAGAAGAAGCGCCGGCGAACUCCGUGCCAGCAGCCGCGGUAAUUC
rnacentral:rRNA from 1 species